ensembl:snRNA U6 U6 spliceosomal RNA
GCGCUUGCUUUGGUAGCACAAAUACUAAAAUUGGAAUGAUACAGAGACGAUUAGCAUGGUUCCUGUGCAAGGAUGACACGCAAAUUUGUGAAGUGUUUGUAAAGAUA